UACGUAGGUGGCAAGCGUUGUCCGGAAUUAUUGGGCGUAAAGCGCGCGCAGGCGGUCCUUUAAGUCUGAUGUGAAAGCCCACGGCUCAACCGUGGAGGGUCAUUGGAAACUGGGGGACUUGAGUGCAGAAGAGGAGAGUGGAACUCCACGUGUAGCGGUGAAAUGCGUAGAGAUGUGGAGGAACACCAGUGGCGAAGGCGACUCUCUGGUCUGUAACUGACGCUGAGGCGCGAAAGCGUGGGGAGCAAACAGG
rnacentral:rRNA from 1 species